AUGAAGGGGUGGGGUGCUAACCUGGGUCGUGACCUCCGGGAGUGCAAGAAGGCGUUGUUAUCCGCGAUCCAGGCCCUUGACCUGCGCGCUGAUGCGGCGGGGCUCUCUCCGAACAAGUGGCUUUCCCGGUACGACCUGGAAGACCAGCUCUCCGUGAUUUACACCGAUGAGGAGGCUUAUUGGCACCUCUGUGGGGCUCAGAAAUGGGUCAUGAAGGGCGACGUGAAUACGGCGUACUUUCAGGCCAUUGCCAACGGCCGCCGUAGACACAACACCAUCCCUCUUUUGUGGGAUGGUGAGACGCUCCUUCAUCACCCUCGCGACAUCCGAUCCCACGUCGACAUAUUCUAUAGAUCCUUAUUCUCUGCCGCUCCUCGGAGCAGCCUCUCUCUUGCACCCGAUUGUUGGGCUGGUCCCCAGUUGGUGUCUGAGUCGGAGAACGCGGCCCUUACGGCCCCCUUCUCCGAGCAGGAGGUCUGGGAAGCCAUCAAGGGCAUGAACCCCUCCUCAGCGCCUGGUCCGGAUGGCCUCCCUGUUAAAUUCUUCCAGACCUUCUGGAACGUGAUUAAACCGGAGGUCAUGGCUAUCUUCGACGAGUUCUACGUUGGCGCCAUUGGUCUCAGACGCCUCAACUACGAGAUCAUCUCUCUCAUCCCAAAGGUCCCUGGGGCGUCCGACAUCCGUCAAUUUCGCCCGAUCACUGUCAUUAAUGUGAUCUUUCGGAUCCUGGCCAAAGGGUACGCCAAUAGGGUGACCCUUCUGGCUGAUCGUGUGACACAUCCCAACCAGUCGACCUUCAUUAAGGGCUGUUACAUCCUGGAUGGGGUCCUAGUCCUUCAUGAAGUCCUCCAUGAGGUUCGCACCAAAAACCUCAAGGCGGUAUUUCUGAAGAUUGACUUCCAUAAGGCUUAUGACAUGGUUAGCUGGCCCUUCCUCCAGGAAGUCCUUCUUCGGAAGGGUUUCGACGAUCGGUGGAUCACGAGAGUAAUGCAAAUGGUCACUUGCUGGCGCACGGCCGUGAACAUAAAUGGUGAGAUCGGCCCUUUCUUCCCCACCCUUUGUGGGGUCCGACAAGGUGACCCCUUCUCCCCAUUCUUGUUCAAUAUGGUCGUCGACGCGCUGGCGACCAUCCUUGAUAAGGCGAAAGCCGCGGGCCAUAUUCGUGGGAUUACUCCCCACCUCGCCGGUGGCUCCGGGAUCUCCAUCCUCCAGUAUGCUGACGACACUAUUGCUACCUCUUGA
rnacentral:rRNA from 1 species